GAUCAUGGCUCAGGACGAACGCUGGCGGCGUGCUUAACACAUGCAAGUCGAACGAGAAUCUGUGGAAAGAGGACUCGUCCAAUUGAAGCAGAGGACAGUGGCGGACGGGUGAGUAACGCGUGAGGAACCUGCCUUUCAGAGGGGGACAACAGUUGGAAACGACUGCUAAUACCGCAUGACACAUAGGUGUCGCAUGGCACUUAUGUCAAAGNUUUAU
rnacentral:rRNA from 1 species